rnacentral:tRNA from 1 species
GGUUCCAUAGUGUAGCGGUGAGCACAUCUGCUUUACAUGCAGAAGGUGCUAGGUUCGCAACCCAGUGGAGCCA